rnacentral:rRNA from 2 species
GAACUCUGGUAUUGAUUGGUGCUUGCAUCAUGAUUUACAUUUGAGUGAGUGGCGAACUGGUGAGUAACACGUGGGAAACCUGCCCAGAAGCGGGGGAUAACACCUGGAAACAGAUGCUAAUACCGCAUAACAACUUGGACCGCAUGGUCCGAGUUUGAAAGAUGGCUUCGGCUAUCACUUUUGGAUGGUCCCGCGGCGUAUUAGCUAGAUGGUGGGGUAACGGCUCACCAUGGCAAUGAUACGUAGCCGACCUGAGAGGGUAAUCGGCCACAUUGGGACUGAGACACGGCCCAAACUCCUACGGGAGGCAGCAGUAGGGAAUCUUCCACAAUGGACGAAAGUCUGAUGGAGCAACGCCGCGUGAGUGAAGAAGGGUUUCGGCUCGUAAAACUCUGUUGUUAAAGAAGAACAUAUCUGAGAGUAACUGUUCAGGUAUUGACGGUAUUUAACCAGAAAGCCACGGCUAACUACGUGCCAGCAGCCGCGGUAAUACGUAGGUGGCAAGCGUUGUCCGUAUUUAUUGGGCGUAAAGCGAGCGCAGGCGGUUUUUUAAGUCUGAUGUGAAAGCCUUCGGCUCAACCCGAAAGAAGUGCAUCGGUAACUGGGAAACUUGAGU